rnacentral:rRNA from 7 species
GGGUUGUGAGGUUAAGCGACUAAGCGUACACGGUGGAUGCCCUGGCAGUCAGAGGCGAUGAAGGGCGUGCUAAUCUGCGAUAAGCGCCGGUAAGGUGAUAUGAACCGUUAUAACCGGCGAUACCCGAAUGGGGAAACCCAGUGUGAUUCGUCACACUAUCAUUAACUGAAUCCAUAGGUUAAUGAGGCGAACCGGGGGAACUGAAACAUCUAAGUACCCCGAGGAAAAGAAAUCAACCGAGAUUCCCCCAGUAGCGGCGAGCGAACGGGGAGGAGCCCAGAGCCUGAAUCAGCAUGUGUGUUAGUGGAAGCGUCUGGAAAGGCGCGCGAUACAGGGUGACAGCCCCGUACACAAAAGCGCAUGUGCUGUGAGCUCGAUGAGUAGGGCGGGACACGUGGUAUCCUGUCUGAAUAUGGGGGGACCAUCCUCCAAGGCUAAAUACUCCUGACUGACCGAUAGUGAACCAGUACCGUGAGGGAAAGGCGAAAAGAACCCCGGCGAGGGGAGUGAAAAAGAACCUGAAACCGUGUACGUACAAGCAGUGGGAGCACAGGUUUACCUGUGUGACUGCGUACCUUUUGUAUAAUGGGUCAGCGACUUAUAUUCUGUAGCAAGGUUAACCGAAUAGGGGAGCCGGAGGGAAACCGAGUCUUAAUUGGGCGUUAAGUUGCAGGGUAUAGACCCGAAACCCGGUGAUCUAGCCAUGGGCAGGUUGAAGGUUGGGUAACACUAACUGGAGGACCGAACCGACUAAUGUUGAAAAAUUAGCGGAUGACCUGUGGCUGGGGGUGAAAGGCCAAUCAAACCGGGAGAUAGCUGGUUCUCCCCGAAAGCUAUUUAGGUAGCGCCUCGUGAAUUCAUCUCCGGGGGUAGAGCACUGUUUCGGCUAGGGGGCCAUCCCGGCUUACCAACCCGAUGCAAACUGCGAAUACCGGAGAAUGUUAUCACGGGAGACACACGGCGGGUGCUAACGUCCGUCGUGAAGAGGGAAACAACCCAGACCGCCAGCUAAGGUCCCAAAGUCAUGGUUAAGUGGGAAACGAUGUGGGAAGGCCCAGACAGCCAGGAUGUUGGCUUAGAAGCAGCCAUCAUUUAAAGAAAGCGUAAUAGCUCACUGGUCGAGUCGGCCUGCGCGGAAGAUGUAACGGGGCUAAACCAUGCACCGAAGCUGCGGCAGCGACACUGUGUGUUGUUGGGUAGGGGAGCGUUCUGUAAGCCUGCGAAGGUGGCCUGUGAGGGUUGCUGGAGGUAUCAGAAGUGCGAAUGCUGACAUAAGUAACGAUAAAGCGGGUGAAAAGCCCGCUCGCCGGAAGACCAAGGGUUCCUGUCCAACGUUAAUCGGGGCAGGGUGAGUCGACCCCUAAGGCGAGGCCGAAAGGCGUAGUCGAUGGGAAACGGGUUAAUAUUCCCGUACUUGGUGUUACUGCGAAGGGGGGACGGAGAAGGCUAUGUUGGCCGGGCGACGGUUGUCCCGGUUUAAGCGUGUAGGUGUGUGUUCCAGGUAAAUCCGGUUCACUUUAACACUGAGGCGUGACGACGAGGCACUACGGUGCUGAAGCAACAAAUGCCCUGCUUCCAGGAAAAGCCUCUAAGCAUCAGGUAACAUCAAAUCGUACCCCAAACCGACACAGGUGGUCAGGUAGAGAAUACCAAGGCGCUUGAGAGAACUCGGGUGAAGGAACUAGGCAAAAUGGUGCCGUAACUUCGGGAGAAGGCACGCUGACACGUAGGUGAAGUGAUUUACUCAUGGAGCUGAAGUCAGUCGAAGAUACCAGCUGGCUGCAACUGUUUAUUAAAAACACAGCACUGUGCAAACACGAAAGUGGACGUAUACGGUGUGACGCCUGCCCGGUGCCGGAAGGUUAAUUGAUGGGGUCAGCGCAAGCGAAGCUCCUGAUCGAAGCCCCGGUAAACGGCGGCCGUAACUAUAACGGUCCUAAGGUAGCGAAAUUCCUUGUCGGGUAAGUUCCGACCUGCACGAAUGGCGUAAUGAUGGCCAGGCUGUCUCCACCCGAGACUCAGUGAAAUUGAACUCGCUGUGAAGAUGCAGUGUACCCGCGGCAAGACGGAAAGACCCCGUGAACCUUUACUAUAGCUUGACACUGAACAUUGAGCCUUGAUGUGUAGGAUAGGUGGGAGGCUUUGAAGUGUGGACGCCAGUCUGCAUGGAGCCGACCUUGAAAUACCACCCUUUAAUGUUUGAUGUUCUAACGUGGACCCGUUACCCGGGUUGCGGACAGUGUCUGGUGGGUAGUUUGACUGGGGCGGUCUCCUCCUAAAGAGUAACGGAGGAGCACGAAGGUUGGCUAAUCCUGGUCGGACAUCAGGAGGUUAGUGCAAUGGCAUAAGCCAGCUUGACUGCGAGCGUGACGGCGCGAGCAGGUGCGAAAGCAGGUCAUAGUGAUCCGGUGGUUCUGAAUGGAAGGGCCAUCGCUCAACGGAUAAAAGGUACUCCGGGGAUAACAGGCUGAUACCGCCCAAGAGUUCAUAUCGACGGCGGUGUUUGGCACCUCGAUGUCGGCUCAUCACAUCCUGGGGCUGAAGUAGGUCCCAAGGGUAUGGCUGUUCGCCAUUUAAAGUGGUACGCGAGCUGGGUUUAGAACGUCGUGAGACAGUUCGGUCCCUAUCUGCCGUGGGCGCUGGAGAACUGAGGGGGGCUGCUCCUAGUACGAGAGGACCGGAGUGGACGCAUCACUGGUGUUCGGGUUGUCAUGCCAAUGGCACUGCCCGGUAGCUAAAUGCGGAAGAGAUAAGUGCUGAAAGCAUCUAAGCACGAAACUUGCCCCGAGAUGAGUUCUCCCUGAGACUUAAAGUCUCCUGAAGGAACGUUGAAGACGACGACGUUGAUAGGCCGGGUGUGUAAGCGCAGCGAUGCGUUGAGCUAACCGGUACUAAUGAACCGUGAGGCUUAACCUUACAACGCCGAAG